rnacentral:rRNA from 2 species
CGAUGAUGCCCAGCUUGCUGGGCGGAUUAGUGGCGAACGGGUGAGUAAUACGUGAGUAACCUGCCCUUGACUCUGGGAUAAGCCUGGGAAACUGGGUCUAAUACUGGAUACUACCUCUUGCCGCAUGGUGGGUGGUGGAAAGGGUUUUACUGGUUUUGGAUGGGCUCACGGCCUAUCAGCUUGUUGGUGGGGUAAUGGCUCACCAAGGCGACGACGGGUAGCCGGCCUGAGAGGGUGACCGGCCACACUGGGACUGAGACACGGCCCAGACUCCUACGGGAGGCAGCAGUGGGGAAUAUUGCACAAUGGGCGGAAGCCUGAUGCAGCGACGCCGCGUGAGGGAUGACGGCCUUCGGGUUGUAAACCUCUUUCAGUAGGGAAGAAGCGAGAGUGACGGUACCUGCAGAAGAAGCGCCGGCUAACUACGUGCCAGCAGCCGCGGUAAUACGUAGGGCGCAAGCGUUGUCCGGAAUUAUUGGGCGUAAAGAGCUCGUAGGCGGUUUGUCGCGUCUGCUGUGAAAGCCCGGGGCUCAACCCCGGGUCUGCAGUGGGUACGGGCAGACUAGAGUGCAGUAGGGGAGACUGGAAUUCCUGGUGUAGCGGUGAAAUGCGCAGAUAUCAGGAGGAACACCGAUGGCGAAGGCAGGUCUCUGGGCUGUUACUGACGCUGAGGAGCGAAAGCAUGGGGAGCGAACAGGAUUAGAUACCCUGGUAGUCCAUGCCGUAAACGUUGGGCACUAGGUGUGGGGGACAUUCCACGUUUUCCGCGCCGUAGCUAACGCAUUAAGUGCCCCGCCUGGGGAGUACGGCCGCAAGGCUAAAACUCAAAGGAAUUGACGGGGGCCCGCACAAGCGGCGGAGCAUGCGGAUUAAUUCGAUGCAACGCGAAGAACCUUACCAAGGCUUGACAUUCACCGGACCGCCCCAGAGAUGGGGUUUCCCUUCGGGGCUGGUGGACAGGUGGUGCAUGGUUGUCGUCAGCUCGUGUCGUGAGAUGUUGGGUUAAGUCCCGCAACGAGCGCAACCCUCGUUCUAUGUUGCCAGCACGUGAUGGUGGGGACUCAUAGGAGACUGCCGGGGUCAACUCGGAGGAAGGUGGGGAUGACGUCAAAUCAUCAUGCCCCUUAUGUCUUGGGCUUCACGCAUGCUACAAUGGCCGGUACAAAGGGUUGCGAUACUGUGAGGUGGAGCUAAUCCCAAAAAGCCGGUCUCAGUUCGGAUUGAGGUCUGCAACUCGACCUCAUGAAGUCGGAGUCGCUAGUAAUCGCAGAUCAGCAACGCUGCGGUGAAUACGUUCCCGGGCCUUGUACACACCGCCCGUCAAGUCACGAAAGUUGGUAACACCCGAAGCCGGUGGCCUAACCC